rnacentral:rRNA from 1 species
UACGCAGGCGGAAAAUUAAGUCAGUGGUGAAAUCCUACAGCUUAACUGUAGAACUGUCAUUGAUACUGGUUUUCUUGAAUAUAGUUGAGGUAGGCGGAAUGUGUAAUGUAGCGGUGAAAUGCUUAGAUAUUACACAGAACACCGAUUGCGAAGGCAGCUUACUAAGCUAUGAUUGACGCUGAGGUACGAAAGCGUGGGGAGCGAACAGGAUUAGAUACCCUGGUAGUCC